rnacentral:lncRNA from 13 species
AUGAGCAAAGUUUUCUCAGCCUUGUUUUCUUCAGGACCUUCACCUUCUGAAAACACGUUGAAUCAAAAUGGAGAAUGGGUUGCAAAGUGCUUCGCACAGCACUUCUCUGGAGCAGAGAGGGUACAGAAUACAGGGAGACAAGGUAAGGAGCAGAGAACACUGCACAGGUAUAAAAACUCCACUCCUAGGAAAACAAGCAGUGACAGCAGGCAUUUUGCUGAACAUGUCGUCAGGGAGAAAUACAGCUGAUAAAAAGCAAAUACUGAUAGAAAGGCUGCCCAUGCUCCGGAACUGACAAUAACAGCUCUGGAAUGAAGAGGUGAUCUCAUAGCAUAGAGACUACAGAGAACCUGAACAGUGUGGGACUCAGAAAAAAAAAAAAAUCAAUAAGCCAGUUCAAUACAAGAAGAGCAGUCAACUAGAAUAGGACAGAAACCAUUACCUUAGCCACACCUGGAAUCACACUGGGUACCCACUGUAGUUUUGAAUAUUUAUUUAUAGUUAAGCUCAUUGUACAACCUGUAGAGUAAGGAAGGAGGAGUGUGCUAGUCAUGUUACAAAAGUCUAUGAAGACCUAAAGGCCUGUAGGAUAUACAGCCACUUUUUAGGGAGAGUCUGUUAAGUGUGUUUUAUCCCCCUUCAAAAGCUGGCAUGAGAUAUGCCUUCAGUUUCAAGUAAAACAACUCUGCCACUUUAGCAACUGCAGAUUGGAGAAGAGCUUGAUACAUGAAGCAAAAGCAACUUAAUGGUGGAGCCAAACCCUGUUGAAAUGAGGCAUUCCUUCUUGACUGGUGGCAAAUCCACACAAUCGUUUCUUAUGAGAACAAAGAUGUCCUGAGCAAGGGUGAGCUGAACUUCUGCUUAUUGACAGAGAAAGCCCAGAUUUCAACUGUAAGGAUAUGCUCUUCAGUAUCAUUACUCUACACCUCCACAGAUGUACACCUUCCCUCACACUCCCCCUUUUAGCUUCUGGAACUUUCUCUACCUCAUCCUUGCUCCUAAAGAAAAACAGGCACAUCUACAUGGAUUCUCUUUAUAAAAUAAAAAAAAGUCCAAGCAGAAGAAAGAACA